rnacentral:snRNA from 1 species
AUGCUGGCUUCGAUAGCACAUAUACUAAAAUUGGAAUGAUACAGAGAUUAGCAUGGCCUCUCACAAGAAUGGCCUGCAAAUUCGUGAAGCAUUCCAUAACUAA